GGGGAAUUAGCUCAAAUGGUAGAGCACUUGCUUCGCAUGCGAGAGGUAGUGGGAUCGAUGCCCACAUUCACCA
rnacentral:tRNA from 1 species